AUUCUGCCCAAGCGGGGAAGGAUGAGAAGCUUCGACCAAGGUUCGACUUGAGCGCCAGCGAGAGAGCGUUGCCGCAGGCAACGACCCGAAGGGCGAAGCGAGCAGCGCUGAGUAAUCCUUCCCCCACCACCA
rnacentral:sRNA from 1 species